AGGAAUUUUAUUCAAGAGCAAGAGGCAAGAAGAGGAGUUCCUCUCUUUUUGUGAAUAAAUUUCUUUUGUCUACUUGAAGGAACUACAUUUGUUGAAUGAGAAACGCAAUCUGGUGAGACAACUAUCUUAACUAAGCAAGGUUAUUUAAAGAGUUACAGGACCCUUCAGAUGUUAGUGGAAUAACUGAGGUAUUUAUUUACACUUCUAAAGUUUAGGGUAAUCAUUUUGAGAUUUUUGU